NNNNNNNNNNNNNNNNNNNNNNNNNNNNNNNNNNGGUUUUUUUGGACAUGUGAACAGAAAAAGGAGAACCAAAGAAAGCAUAGGUCCGCUACUAGAUGGGGAAGGUCUCCUCACACCCAAUGACAUAGGCGAAGCAGAGAUGUUUAAUGCCUUCUUCAUCUCUGUCUUCAACACUGAUGAUGGGCUUCGGGACCCAGGGUGCCCUGAGCUGGAGGACCAAGAUGGUGGGAAUGACAAACUCCCAACCGACCCUGAAUGUGUGCAGGAUUUGCUGCUUCACCUGGAUCCAUACAAGUCCAUGGGUCCAGAUGGGAUUAAUCCCAGGGUGCUUAAAGAGCUGGCUGACAUCAUCGUGGGACCUGUCUCAAUUAUUUUUCAACAGUCUUGGGAAUCUGGAGAGGUCCCAUUGGACUGGAACUUGGCAAAUGUUGUGCCAAUUUUCAAGAAGGGAAAGAAAGAAGACCCUAGCAAUUACAGGCCUGUCAGUCUCACAUCAGUGCCUGGUAAAAUUAUGGAGAAGGUGAUCCUUGAAGCGAUUGAAGUGCACCUGGGGGACAAUGCUGUCACUGGUUCCAGCCAACAUGGGUUCAUAAGGGGUAGGUCCUGCCUAACAAAUUUGAUUUCCUUUUAUGAUAAGAUCACCCAUCUAGUUGAUCAAGGGAAACCAGCUGAUGUGAUCUUUUUGGACUUCAGCAAUGUUUUUGACAUGAUUUCCCACAGGGUCCUACUGGACAAAAUGUCCAGCAUACAGCUAAACAAAAACAUCAUACAACGGGUGAGCAAUUGGCUGAUGGGCAGGGCUCAAAGGGUUGUGGUAAAUGGGGCCACAUCUGGCUGGCGGAUGGUCACUACUGGGGUCCCUCAAGGCUCCAUUUUAGGGCCAGUCUCCUUCCAUGUUUUUAUAAAUGAUUUGGAUGUAGGACUAGAAGGUGUUUUGAGCAAAUUUGCCAACGACACCAAACUUGGAGGAAUUGUGGAAUCUGUUGAAGAUGGAAAGGCCUUGCAGCGAGAUCUGGACAGAUUGGAGAGCUAGGCGAUUACCAGCCACAUGAAGUUUAACAAAAGCAAGUGCCAGGUCCUGCACCUGG
rnacentral:lncRNA from 1 species